UGUUACGACUUCACCCCAGUCAUGAAUCACACCGUGGUAAACGCCCUCCCGAAGGUUAAGCUAUCUACUUCUGGUGCAACCCACUCCCAUGGUGUGACGGGCGGUGUGUACAAGGCCCGGGAACGUAUUCACCGCAACAUUCUGAUUUGCGAUUACUAGCGAUUCCGACUUCACGGAGUCGAGUUGCAGACUCCGAUCCGGACUACGACGCGCUUUUUGGGAUUCGCUCACUAUCGCUAGCUUGCAGCCCUCUGUACGCGCCAUUGUAGCACGUGUGUAGCCCUGGCCGUAAGGGCCAUGAUGGCUUGACG
rnacentral:rRNA from 1 species